GCAAAACGCGAAGAACCUUACCAAGGCUUGACAUCCCCUUGACCGGCACAGAGAUGUGCCCUCUCCUUCGGGAGCAAGGGUGACAGGUGGUGCAUGGUUGUCGUCAGCUCGUGUCGUGAGAUGUUGGGUUAAGUCCCGCAACGAGCGCAACCCUUAUCCUUAGUUGCCAGCAUUUAAGGUGGGCACUCUAAGGAGACUGCCGAUGAUAAAUCGGAGGAAGGUGGGGAUGACGUCAAAUCAUCAUGCCCCUUAUGUCUUGGGCUACACACGUGCUACAAUGGUCGGUACAAAGGGGAGCGAAGGAGUGAUCUGGAGCAAAUCCCAAUAAACCGAUCUCAGUUCGGAUUGUAGGCUGCAACUCGCCUACAUGAAGUCGGAGUUGCUAGUAAUCGCGAAUCAGAACGUCGCGGUGAAUACGUUCCCGGGUCUUGUACACACCG
rnacentral:rRNA from 1 species